rnacentral:tRNA from 2 species
AAGGGAGACCUAAUUCAGGUAGGAGACGAAAAAAAAGUAGUCCCUACCAAGAAUCAAUCCCAAAAGGUCGGAGCGAGGCAAAAUUGGCUUUCAAACUAGGUUCUGGGUUCACACAAGACCUGAAUCAGGAACAAGGGCUAUUAGCUCAGGUGGUUAGAGCGCACCCCUGAUAAGGGUGAGGUCCCUGGUUCGAGUCCAGGAUGGCCCACCUGUACAGGUGGCAAAAAGAAAGAAAAGAAGCGAGGAAUCAGCACCUUAUCUUACUUAUAUAGUAAGAGAGAAUGCUGGCUCUGAGUUCAGAGUCCAGAGGAACCUUGAAAACUGCAUAGAGCUAGGUGAAAAAGCCAAAAAAGAAGAUCGCAA